rnacentral:rRNA from 1 species
GACGAACCGUGCGAACGUUGUUCGGAAUCAUUGGGCUUAAAGGGCGCGUAGGCGGGCUAUCAAGUCCGGGGUGAAAUCCUCCCGCUCAACGGGAGAACGGCCUCGGAUACUGAUGGCCUCGAGGGGGAUAGGGGCACACGGAACUGUGGGUGGAGCGGUGAAAUGCGUUGAUAUCCAUAGGAACUCCGGUGGCGAAAGCGGUGUGCUGGAUCCCUUCUGACGCUGAGGCGCGAAAGCCAGGGGAGCGAACGGG